CGUUCUCCUGUAAGAACCUCACUUGGAGAUGGCGGUUCGUUUUUCUUCAGGAAGCUGCGUUGUGUGCUGCAGGAAGUGUGCGUGUUUGUGUAGGUGUUUUUGUGUCAUCUCUCAGUGGGCUUUUAGCCUCCACUUGUUUCCGUGGGAGACUCUCCUCCAGCGUUUCCAGCGGACCACACGCGACCCUUCCGACGCGAGGACAGCAGGCUUUACACUUACUGCCAUGGCCUCAGCUAUUACCACGCUGGCAUUUGGAGACGAUGAGCCUCAAGAAAGAAUGAUCCCUUGACUUUAACGGAUAAAAAAACGCGGCGGCGGGGUUCCUCCUGCACCAGAAAGGUAUGCAAAGCAGGCUUUGAUAGACAACGGCGCCCGGCUCCCCGUGGAAGUCCCUCAAACUGCAGACAGAUUGCAGCGGAAAUCAGUUCAACUUUAAAAAGAGCGGCUCAGAUGGGCACCAAAUCUGUCCAAAUGUUCUGUACGUCGACGAGCCGCGGCAGAUUUAUCAUGAAUUUCUCAUAUUGGACUCCUUCAUUAAAAAUGUUCCAACCGUG